UGACCUCAAAUCACUAGGAACACCCGCUGUUUUUAGCAUAUCAAUAAGCGGAGGA
rnacentral:rRNA from 1 species